rnacentral:rRNA from 1 species
CCUACGGGAGGCAGCAGUGGGGAAUAUUGGGCAAUGGAGGCAACUCUUACCCAGCAAUGCCGCGUGAAUGAAGACGGUCCUCGGAGUGUAAAGCUCUUUAAUUGGGGACGAAAAACAUGACGGUACUCAAGGAAUAAGCCUCGGCUAACUACGUGCCAGCAGCCGCGGUAAUACGUAGGGGGCAAGCGUUGUUCGGAAUGACUGGGCGUAAAGGGUGUGUAGGCGGUGUAGCAAGUUAGAAGUGAAAUACCUAGGGCUUAACUCUGGUGCUGCUUCUAAAACUGCUAGACUUGAGUGCAGUAGAGGAAAGUGGAAUUCGUAGUGUAGCGGUGGAAUGCGUAGAUAUUAGGAGGAACAUCAGUGGCGAAGGCGACUUUCUGGACUGUAACUGACGCUGAGGCACGAAAGUGUGGGGAGCAAACAGGAUUAGAUACCCCUGUAGUC